GAGUAAUGUCUGGGAAACUGCCUGAUGGAGGGGGAUAACUACUGGAAACGGUGGCUAAUACCGCAUAACGUCGCAAGACCAAAGAGGGGGACCUUCGGGCCUCUUGCCAUCAGAUGUGCCCAGAUGGGAUUAGCUAGUUGGUGAGGUAACGGCUCACCAAGGCGACGAUCCCUAGCUGGUCUGAGAGGAUGACCAGCCACACUGGAACUGAGACACGGUCCAGACUCCUACGGGAGGCAGCAGUGGGGAAUAUUGCACAAUGGGCGCAAGCCUGAUGCAGCCAUGCCGCGUGUAUGAAGAAGGCCUUCGGGUUGUAAAGUACUUUCAGCGGGGAGGAAGGUGUUGUGGUUAAUAACCACAGCAAUUGACGUUACCCGCAGAAGAAGCACCGGCUAACUCCGUGCCAGCAGCCGCGGUAAUACGGAGGGUGCAAGCGUUAAUCGGAAUUACUGGGCGUAAAGCGCACGCAGGCGGUCUGUCAAGUCGGAUGUGAAAUCCCCGGGCUCAACCUGGGAACUGCAUUCGAAACUGGCAGGCUUGAGUCUUGUAGAGGGGGGUAGAAUUCCAGGUGUAGCGGUGAAAUGCGUAGAGAUCUGGAGGAAUACCGGUGGCGAAGGCGGCCCCCUGGACAAAGACUGACGCUCAGGUGCGAAAGCGUGGGGAGCAAACAGGAUUAGAUACCCUGGUAGUCCACGCCGUAAACGAUGUCUACUUGGAGGUUGUGCCCUUGAGGCGUGGCUUCCGGAGCUAACGCGUUAAGUAGACCGCCUGGGGAGUACGGCCGCAAGGUUAAAACUCAAAUGAAUUGACGGGGGCCCGCACAAGCGGUGGAGCAUGUGGUUUAAUUCGAUGCAACGCGAAGAACCUUACCUGGUCUUGACAUCCACAGAACUUUCCAGAGAUGGAUUGGUGCCUUCGGGAACUGUGAGACAGGUGCUGCAUGGCUGUCGUCAGCUCGUGUUGUGAAAUGUUGGGUUAAGUCCCGCAACGAGCGCAACCCUUAUCCUUUGUUGCCAGCGGUCCGGCCGGGAACUCAAAGGAGACUGCCAGUGAUAAACUGGAGGAAGGUGGGGAUGACGUCAAGUCAUCAUGGCCCUUACGACCAGGGCUACACACGUGCUACAAUGGCGCAUACAAAGAGAAGCGACCUCGCGAGAGCAAGCGGACCUCAUAAAGUGCGUCGUAGUCCGGAUUGGAGUCUGCAACUCGACUCCAUGAAGUCGGAAUCGCUAGUAAUCGUGGAUCAGAAUGCCACGGUGAAUACGUUCCCGGGCCUUGUACACACCGCCCGUCACACCAUGGGAGUGGGUUGCAAAAGAAGUAGGUAGCUUAACCUUCGGGAGGGCGCUUACCACUUUGUGAUUCAUGACUGGGGUGAAGUCGUAACAAGGUAACCGUAGGGGAACCUGCGGUUGGAUCACCUCCUUACCUUAAAGAA
rnacentral:rRNA from 1 species